rnacentral:rRNA from 1 species
GAACGAGAAAGUGGAGCAAUCCAUGAGUAAAGUGGCGACCGGGUGAGUAACACGUGACUAACCUGCCCUAGAGUGGGGGAUAACCUCGGGAAACCGGGGCUAAUACCGCAUAACAUCGCGAGGUGAAAUUCCUUGUGAUCAAAGGAGCAAUUCGCUCAAGGAGGGGGUCGCGGCUGAUUAGUUAGUUGGUGAGGUAACGGCUCACCAAGACUUAGAUCAGUAGCCGGCCUGAGAGGGCGCACGGCCACACUGGAACUGAAACACGGUCCAGACUCCUACGGGAGGCAGCAGUGGGGAAUUUUGCGCAAUGGGGGAAACCCUGACGCAGCAACGCCGCGUGGAGGAUGAAGUCCCUUGGGAUGUAAACUCCUUUCGAUCGGGACGAUUAUGACGGUACCGGAAGAAGAAGCACCGGCUAACUCUGUG